rnacentral:rRNA from 1 species
CUGGCGACCGGCGCACGGGUGAGUAACACGUAUCCAACCUGCCGAUAACUCGGGGAUAGCCUUUCGAAAGAAAGAUUAAUACCCGAUGGCAUAAUUAGACCGCAUGGUUUGAUUAUUAAAGAAUUUCGGUUAUCGAUGGGGAUGCGUUCCAUUAGGCAGUUGGUGAGGUAACGGCUCACCAAACCUUCGAUGGAUAGGGGUUCUGAGAGGAAGGUCCCCCACAUUGGAACUGAGACACGGUCCAA